UACGUAGGGAGCUAGCGUUGUUCGGAAUCACUGGGCGUAACGCGCACGUAGGCGGAUGUGUCAGUCAGGGGUGAAAUCCCGGAGCUCAACUUCGGAACUGCCUUUGAUACUGGCGACCUUGAGGCUGGAAGAGGUUAGUGGAAUUCCCAGUGUAGAGGUGAAAUUCGUAGAUAUUGGGAAGAACACCAGUGGCGAAGGCGGCUAACUGGUCCAGAUCUGACGCUGAGGUGCGAAAGCGUGGGGAGCAAACAGG
rnacentral:rRNA from 1 species